rnacentral:rRNA from 1 species
UACGGAGGGGACUAGCGUUGUUCGGAAUUACUGGGCGUAAAGCGCACGUAGGCGGAUUUGUAAGUCAGGGGUGAAAUCCCGGGGCUCAACCUCGGAACUGCCUUUGAUACUGCGAAUCUCGAGUCCGGAAGAGGUGAGUGGAAUUCCUAGUGUAGAGGUGAAAAUUCGUAGAUAUUAGGAAGAACACCAGUGGCGAAGGCGGCUCACUGGUCCGGUACUGACGCUGAGGCGCGGAAAGCGAUGGGGAGCGUACGGGA